rnacentral:rRNA from 1 species
GUGGGGAAUAUUGCACAAUGGGGGAAACCCUGAUGCAGCGACGCCGCGUGAGUGAAGAAGUAUUUCGGUAUGUAAAGCUCUAUCAGCAGGGAAGAUAUAAGGGCCUUCGGGCCUUGGACGGUACCUGACUAAGAAGCCCCGGCUAACUACGUGCCAGCAGCCGCGGUAAUACGUAGGGGGCAAGCGUUAUCCGGAUUUACUGGGUGUAAAGGGAGCGUAGACGGUGAAGCAAGUCUGAAGUGAAAGGCCGGGGCCCAACCCCGGGACUGCUUUGGAAACUGUUUGACUGGAGUACAGGAGAGGUAAGUGGAAUUCCUAGUGUAGCGGUGAAAUGCGUAGAUAUUAGGAGGAACACCAGUGGCGAAGGCGGCUUACUGGACUGUAACUGACGUUGAGGCUCGAAAGCGUGGGGAGCAAACAGGA